rnacentral:lncRNA from 1 species
CAGCUAGCUCAGAAAUACACGAGCUGUUGGAGUCGGUGAGAUACACUGUGGGACUGUGGAACUCAAUGAAUGGGGGACAUCCGUGGUUGGCAAGGGAUGAGACACGAGACAGCGUGAACACAACGUUGAAAAGAGCACAUUACAGACACGACACAGUGACAGAGACAUUCGUGAAUAAAGAGGAAAGUGCAGAUUUUCAUGACCAAAAUGGGCUGGAAAUCAA